rnacentral:lncRNA from 1 species
AGAGCUUGGAAGAGCUUAGAGAGAUAAACUUGGAUUACAAAGGAGGGAACCAAAGGGUUGAGUGUCUUUGUAGAGAGUGUCUCUUGGGUUGGGAAAAACAUUGUAAUCACCUUGGGUAGUGAGGAGUUCACCAUUGGAAGGAUCUAAAGCUUCCUCUAGUGUCUUCUCUUUUAGGGUUCAUAUUGUGAGAGUGGGGAAACACCAAAGGGUAGAAUCUAGGUCUUGUUUCUUGUGUAAGCUUGCAAGCUAUUGUUUCUUGUAACCCUUUGUAACACUUUCAUCAUAUUGGAUUGGAGAGCUGCUCUCUCCCCCAGAUUAGGCCAUAUUGGCUGAACUGGGUCAACAAUCUCUUUGGUGUGUUUGUUCUUUCUUUCUUGCUUAUAUUGUUUGCUUUGUAUUCUCUUUGUGGUGUUGCUCUACACUAGACUAGGGCUGGUUUUGUUGUUGUUGCUUGGGAAACUUUUUACUCUUUGAUUACCACUAUCUUUUGCUCCACACAUCUUUGUUUUCAUUGGUGUGAGUUUUAACCGGAUUCACAACAUGCAUGAUCAUUGAAACAUGCCAAAUAACACAAACCAAACAACUUUGUGUAUGUGCAAUGCUUUUUACAAGAUUAUCAACAUGAUUUCUUAGAGUAUAAUCAUUACGAAUGUUUCGGCGAGGAAAAAUGAAACAAGGGAUGAAGAAAUAUAAAGGAGCCACUUGCUGAUUAAGACACACCACAUGCGAGCCACAGGUCCCACCAUAGUAGAUCAGAUUGCUACUGCCCAAGACGCCUAGAGUAGGAGCUGGUGUGUGUCGUACACAUAUUGUUCCAAAAAAUUCGGGUUUUACACACCUAUAAAUAUAGAAGCCUUGCCUCACUUUAAGAAAAAAAAAACGUUCUAACGACGGGAAAAAGGUGAAAUCACACGAUUUUGGAAGGCUACCAACGACCAGAGGCAUCCUAGAGGCGAGGAUUUUUUUUUUUUUUGAACAAAUCAAAAUGGAAUAUAUUGCACAAAAGAGAAGUGAUUCACCCCGCACAAGGUGUACUAAAAGCGAUGAAUCACUCAAAGUCUGAUACAGUAACUAGGUGACGGGCACACACGCAUGACACAGUCAACUAAAAAAGAUAAAUAACAUUAGACAGCACCUAUACAAAGAAGUGGGUGCCUCCACCAAUCAUGAAAACCAUACGCCAUUGUUACAGAAUUUGACGAAAGCCAUAAAAAAGUAUCCAACUUCACCUUUUCGACAAUAUUGUAAGGAUCAAUUACCACAUUUUUGAAGAUACAGUUAUUUCUCUCCUUCCAUAUUGCCCAUACACAGGCAAGCCAAAUAACCUUAAGAUAAAAAUGAGAAGCUCGUGGCAUACCCGCCAAAUGAGUAAACUGAUAGUAGUGAUCCACAACCGAACCUGGAAGAACAUAAGAAAAACCAAUCCAUUGACAUAAUAAAUACCAAACUUUCCCAAACAAUUCGCAACCUAACACAAGAUGCUCCGCCGUCUCAAUGAAACCACGUCCUCCAACACACAAAGUGUCGUUAGCUUGAAGAACAUGUCGAAGCGCCAAGUUUGACCUUGUCGGAAUUCUAUCUUUCAAUAGACGCCAAGUGAAAAGAGAAACUUUUGUAGGAACCAAUUUGUGCCACACGUUUGUGUUUGUAACAACAGCCACCUGAUCCUCUAAAGAUGUUAGAAAGCGAUAAGUCCCACUAACCGAGUAGCCAUGAAUAGGAUCAAGCAACCAACGCUAGUGGUUCUGUAAAUUUUCCUGCAGAAUAACGUUAGUCAAUAAAUUCACACACUCCCUCACACUAUCCUCCUCCCAAGCCAACAACCGAUGUCGCCAUCUCCACCCACCUCCGCCUUCCUCCCACCCCAAUCCCGCCAUAUCCUCCACGGAACAUUCCUUAUGUAUUGACAAAUCAAAUAGGCGGUUGAAACGAAUGCGUAAAGGAAUUCCAUCCAGCCAAUUGUCAGUCCAAAAGAAAGUAUUACGACCACUACCUACCACCUACCUACAAUUAUCAUCAAACCCCGUUCCCACCCCUUCUCUAACGUGACACAUCAUCCUCCACCACCCUGAAGUACUUCUUCCCCCUCCCUGAAUUCGAGUAGCUAAUAUCCUUGGGUUAGGUCAUUUGGAUUACCCUCUCUGCAACUAUUUGAACGUAAUCAAUCGGUACUUUUGAAUAGAGUUACUCUAUUUGAUUUUAUUCGAUUAUGACUUGCUUAUUAAUGUGUUUUAUACGUUUAUAAAUGUUAGUUAAAUGAUCCAAUCACAUUGCCCAUUAACCCUAGCACUGAGAUUUGCACUAGUUAUUAAAUGUUCAAUUUGUAGUAGUUAUUUCUUUUGGUUUCAUUCAAUUUCAUGGCAUGGACCAACUCUCUGAAUACUAUACUAAUGCUGGCCGCAAGAUAGAUUUGUUAUUUCUAACGAUUAGCUUGAUUGAGUUAGGGUUUUAAAUCAAUUUUGGUUCUUUUGUUUUACAAAUCAAAACACGUGAUCUAUUGUUUCUUUCACUUGAACGCUUGAUUGAGUGUCAUUGUUUCCAUGUUUAAUUUUGUUAUUUUUGGUAACAGCACAGUACAUAUAAAAAAAGAGUAAAAUAAUAAAGGAAGCACCCCACCGUAUAAGGGGGUUAAUUAUUUAUUAUUAUUUUUUAAAUUAGGUAUCCUCUGCGUACAAUUGUGAAGACGAAUUCCUCAAAUCUUGGAUGUGUAUAAACUCAUUUAUUUGGUCCGUGUUUAAGUUUUUUUCUUCCGAUAUUAGAAACUAUAUAUUGAAUAGUCCGUAAAACAAAGAAAGCCACUAUUAACAAAAACCAACUCCUCAAAGAAUAAACAUCCGAAUGAUGCAUAGUGUAAUUAGAUUAAGAAUUUGUCAUUCAAAACAAUAGAGAAUUGAAAUGGUUAAUAAUGUGUCAUUAAAACCAAUAGAAAAUUGAAAUUAAAGAAAACUAGAAUAUUGUACCAAAAAAAAAAAAAAAAACUAAACUAACUUAAAUUUAGCAGUCCAAAAACAAAUGUGUAGAAAAUAAAGACAAUUACAAGAACUGAACAACUAUAUUCUAUCAUUAUCUGUGUUUCUCUUUCUCCUGGUGCAUUUUUAGUAGAGAUCUCUUCCCAAUUAAAGACGAGAAACCAUGAAAGUGUGAUGCACCAUAGGAUAGAAGUGAUAGCCGCAGCGGUACGCGAAACUACAAAGACUUCUAUAAUUGAUGUCACACUUGAUAGCAACAGAACGCAUAAGAUUGCAAAUAUAUUGUUGUUGUGGUCAUUGUUGUUGGAACGAUGUUGUAGUGUAACAAGUAGUAUCAUUUGAAAAACUAAAACAAAAACACAGAGUGAGAGCAACACUAUAGUGUCAUGUUGUGCAAUGAAUUUACCAGCGAAUGAUGACAUCUUUAGGGCUACGCAGAUAAUUAAAAGCAUGGAUAAUUGCCCUGCAUGCGGACACAAGUACUUGCAGAAAGCUCUCAUCUACGUUGUUCAUCAUGAACCUAUAAAUUAAUGAGAUAAUUAGAUACAUACAUUGAUUUUUGAGUUUUUGUUUUGUUGUGUAACCUAAAGAAAUUAAAAGACGCAGAAUAGUAAAUAUAUGAAGGUAAAUCAAAGGGAUUGAGUACCUUGGGUUAACUGGAUUAGAGGAUAUAUAUAUAUAUAUAUAUAUAUAUAUAUAUAUAUAUAUUGUCAGGUAGUCUAGUGGAUAGAAUUCACCUUAUAAGGUGAAUAAGUGGGGUUCGAACCCUGAUCCCUCCCUGCAUAUAAUAAUGUAUUAUCCUACCAAUGAGUUAGGCUCACGAGACACGGGAUAGAGGAUUUAUAUUCUUCCAUCUUAAUCACUUGAUAUGCUAUCACAAACAAUAACAAUGCAUGUAGAUAUGUUCAUGAGAUUUUUUUAUUUAUUUUUUGACAAAAAUAUAUAGGCAUGAGAUAUACAUAUAUGCAUCUAUAUAUAACCAGCGACACUCUUUAGAUAGUAAAUUUUUAUAGAAAUUUAUAUAUUCAAUGUAUUGAAAAUUGAAGUAUUAAACUUUUUUAAUGAAUAAUUUCUUAACUAUGAAUCCUUAAAGAGUACCCUAAAAGUACUAAAAGAGUAGAAUUAAAAUAAAAUAAAAAAGAUUAAAGAGAUCUAGUAUCUUGGAUUAAAUGGAGUAGAGGACUUCAAUUUUCCUUCCAUCGUAAUCAAUAAUCACUUGAUCUUCCCUUGUUUGGCAGCACUUGAGUCAAUUAGGUUAAUGACUAAUUAUUAUAGUAGGACUAUUUAAAAAGAUGUUCCCGCAAAGCCAUAACAAACUUAAGAAGACAAGUAUCGCAAAUUUGGUAUUCAUUAUUUAAUAAAAGUAAUUUUGACAUAAAAUAAUUUAGAGGAUUAUGAGCUCGUUUAUUAUUGUUUUUUUAAGAUAAAAAUCACUUUUAAAAAAAAAAAAAAAAUCACUUUUAAGAGUUUUAAAUCCGUUUGUUAUAAAUUUUUUAAAAAAUUAGAAUCUAACAAAAAUUUUAAAAAAGCUUCAAAUGAGAAGCUGUUAAAAGCAGCGUCUAAAAAAAAAAUAAUUUAGAGGAUAGAGAAAAAAUGGUUUAAAAGAUUGAACUAAUUUUAUAACAAAAAAAAAUCUCUUUUAUGUAGUUAUGUCAAACAAACUAAAUUAUUUGUUUUAAAAAAGUGAUUUUUAUUACGGUUAAACAAACGCUACUUCUUAAGACGCCAAGAGUAGGAGUUGGUGCGUGUCGUGACAUCUUGUUGAUCCUAUUUUGAGACGUCUGAGUUGUAACAAUUUGAUAAUCUUAAACUUCUGCAAUCAACAAUUCAAAUGAAUAAUCAAACUUGUUCAUCAAUCAACUUUCGGAUAAACUUGAUAAUAUGCAUUCAAUAAUAAAGGAGAAUUACAGUAUUUUAAAGUUAAACUAAAUCUUGCACAACUAAUUGUCUCCGUGAACUUAGCUCAGCUAGUAAAGACAAUGCAUAAUAUAUGCAAUCCGGGGUUCAAACCCUGGAUACCAUAAAAUAAAAUAAAAAACAGAUUAGAGGAAACUUUUUUUUAAUGAAUGCUGUAGAACGCAAAUAUUUUUCCUGCACAUAAUCAAUCCCCGAACUCGAAAUCAGGUUUCAAGAACCAUAUUUUUUUUAAAGGGUUUUUUCCCAAUGUUUUUCCUAUUUUAAUAAGUUUUGGUGACGACUUUAUUGUUUUACGAGCAACCCUCGAUUUGUUUUCAAGAAUUUCAAACCUGAAAUUUAAUGCGAGCGACCAUUUUUUUUUUCAUUUUAAAGGAUUUUUUCAAUGUUUUCACUAUUUUCAUAAUUUUUUGUGGUAACUUCAUUAUUUCCGAGCAACCGGUGCAUGCUUUGCAACCCUCAAAUUUUAAGUCACAACGUAGUAAAGUAAAAUAUUAAAACAUAUUACUUAUAUAAUCUAAUAUAAUGAAAUGAAAUAUAGUUUUGCAUGAAGAGUUUGAGGAAGGAAAGCUUGUGAAUCAUGCCAUUUUGGCCGACAUGGUAAGCAUUGAUGCAGUCUACAAUUAUCUUCUAACCUUUUUGAAAAUGUGAAUGUCCUUUCUUAGAAGGAAAUUAGUGGAUGAAUGGUUGGAUUCUUUACAAUAUUGUAUACUUGUUGUAGAUGGAAUAACUUCCGAGGUGACUGGUUAGAUGUUUUACAAGAUUAUGUGCAAAAUAUUGAUAUUACACUCUAUAAGUCCAAGCUUAAAAGCUUAACAAUAAAAUUUGGUACCAAACAAAAUCGUCUCUUGUACCAAGAAAGCUAUGAUACAACUUAUCAACCUUGCUUAAAAUGAAACACUACUUGACAAUACAAAAAAGGAGAUCCUCAAUUCGAGUAAGCGCGAGGGCAAUUCAAAGCAAAUUAUCAACUUUUCAAAAGAGGAUGUAUGAGUGGUAGUAUAGGGCGGAUGAGUAGUAGUAGCUCAUGAGUCAUUUUGUUCAAAGACUGUAUGGAUAAUAGUUGAGGAGUUCUUUAGUAUCUAAUAGUGUAUGGUUUGUUUGGUUAAUCAAACAAAUCAUACAAUAUUCGGUACCUCCUGAACUUCGAAAUUCAUAUUCAUGUAGUCGUGGAGUGAGAAAGCUCAUAAACUAUCAUAUAGGUUCCCUCUUCAACUAAUCUUAUGCCCUAUUUUACGAAAUUGAUAAUUUCCUUUAAAAUGAACUGUAGCGUGAUCCAUUGGAGCGAUCUCUUUUUUUUAUUGUCAAAUAACAUUUUAUUUUCAGCAAAAUGGACAAAUUUUACCACAACUUUAUUGUUACAUGAAAGAUGUUUGUUUGGUACCCUCAUUCUAUCGUUAAACCUUUUGGGCUUGGAGUUUUAGAGUAUUGUUAACAUUAUUUGGCACAAAGUCUUGUAAAUCAUUGACCAACUCAUCAAGGUAGCCAUGAUAUUUAUAGAAUCCAAGGUGUUAUGAUACGAGCAAAGCAAGAAUACCACAUAAGCAAAGUUACGUUGCCCUACUCUUUUAUUUUUUGAAAUUUUCAUAUUCUCGUACUUAUAUCAUACCAAAUACCGUACCCUAUAUCCAUACCUAUUCAACAUGAAUUGAAAGUUUUACCGGCAGUACAAUCAGGAAGAUACGUGUUUUGUUGGUUGUAAGAAUGUGGGAGACAAGGUGAAGAUUGUUGGGUUAAAUUGUCGACGAAUAGUUUUGCAUCUACUAUCAAUGACCUAAAUGAUAUUGUUUUUGGGCAUGAAUGUAUAUUUUCUACUAGUACUAUGUAACAACUAAGGUUUUAAAAUUUCAGUUUUAGUGAAAAAAUUUCAAAAUUGAAUUAAGACAUUAUAUUAAAAUAAGUGACAUGUUUUUACAUAAAGCAAAAGAAAAAAUAAACUUAAAUACAACUGAGAACCCUAAACUCUAGACUCUUGUAAUCAACUCUCAAGACAAAAACAAUUCUACUCGAAAAUAAGCAAACAUAUCAGAAUCAAUUCUACACCCCGCACUCAAUUUUAGUCCAUGUAAAAAUGGAACCAAAUAUACACAAUACUACUACGGGUCUGUUUGGUAACAUCCAAAAAAGAGCUUAUAACUUAUAAGUUCUUUUGACAAAAAAAGCUCUGUUUGGCAACACUUUUUCACCAUGAGCUUAUAGCUUAUUUCACGAGCUUAUAAGCUAUUUUUCAGAAGCUAUUCCAAGUAGCGUUUGAGCUUAUAACUUAUAGCUUCUCACUUUUAAUUCCAGUUUUACCCUUAUUAUUCUAACUAAAUUUCAUUUUUUACCUUUAAUCAUUUAUUAUAUUAUAAAGUAAAAUACAUAUGUUUUAAAUAUGAAUGCUAUUUUUUUUUAUGAAUGAAAGAUCCUUUUUUUUUCUCAAUAGAAAAAGAUAUUUUUUUUACCGUUACGUAAGUUUUUUUCAUUACAAUUGUUACGUUUUUUUUUGUGGGACUAUUUCAAUAUUUAAUGUCACCUUUUUUUUGCGAAAUGACACGUUAUUUUUGUGUGAUACAUCAAAAUUGUAGAGAAUAAGAACAAGGACAAUAAUUUUCUCCAUAGAAAAAAAAAUGAGAAUGUUACGUUUACCUUCACUAUAUAUAUAUAUUUGUACAAACUAUAUUUUAUUUAUUGUUACGUUUAAACUUUUUUACAUCUUAUAUAAUUUUUUUAGGCAAAUGAAUAUAAAUAUAAAUUAACAUUUAGGAAUUAAAAAUUAAUUUAAUAAUAAUAUUAAAUUAACAAUUUUUAAUUUUUAAAUUCUUUAAAAUUAAUUGGUAUAAACUUUGAAUUAAAAAUGUCAUUUCAUGUAAUUUUACAUCUAUCAGUUAAUUGAACUGCUAAUUUUAUCAAACACUUCAAGUAGUUCAUCAGCUAUAAGCUAUCAGCUAGCUUAUCAAUCAUCCACUAUUUUUACCAAAGAGAGCCUACAUAAGCACAAUGACUCCUACAGUCCAUCUCUGCAUCACUUAGGGCCACUCCUUUCACCCAGAAGAUCAAGCCUCUUCACCUCAUCAUUUGCCACUUUAAUACGCUGUUCCAUAUUCUGACAAUGUGAUCUAUGUCAUUCCUUCAUGUCAUGUUUAAUGAGCUUUAGGUUUUCUUUUCACAUAAAAUUCAUAUGCAAAGAUUUGUCAAACCCCUUUAUAAAAGCAUCUUGUCACAUAUUUGUCCAUAAUGGAAAAUAUCAAAAUAUAUUUUUGUAUUUUGUAUGACUUAUGCAAUCAUAAAUCUCUUCUAGCAACAACAACAUUAUCUUCUUUCCACUCUUAUUUUUCAACAUUAUUAGAUGCUAGUCACAAACCAAACAUAAACUUCCAAAAACAGUUAUAAUUUAUGCAUAGUACUAUUACUAAUAUAUUCACAUGCAUAACUGUAUAAUAUAUUUCACAUGUCAUGCUAAGAAGUUCCUACGUGUCUUGCAUAUAAGAAUUGUCAGAUAUCAUACUCUAGAGUAUGUGGUUCCUCUAUCUAUCCCGUGAUCAAACAGUGAUUCAAAUUCAAUUAUUCUUAUGCAUCCACAUCAACUAGGAACAAACUUCCAAAAUAUACUUGGUAAACUUUUUGGAUUUUUCCUGAAAAAUAAAACUACUUUUAAAUACUUAUCUAUCUAGUAGGUAUGCUUGUGUUUUUCUAUUAUUACAUUUUCAAUUUUUGAGAUACAUUAUAAAAUAUGGAUACUCAUUGGAUUAGGACUAUACCGGUACAUGUCGUUGUCUGUGUUUGUGUCCGUGCUUUAUAGGUGAUACAUAGUUGAAUAGUAAAAUCUUUUUUUUUUUACAAAAGUUGAAUAGUAUAAUCAUAUAAGAUUAUGAAAUUGUAAUAUAUUGUUGAAUAGUAAAAUAAUAUAACAUUUUGUAAUACAUUGUUUAAGAAAACAAACCUGAAACCACAUUUUUUAAUUAGUUAAAGAUUAUAGGUAUUAGCAUGAUUGCACAAAAUAGUCUUUCUUAUUUAGGUAUUUACACAAACCCUAAUUUAAUUUGAUUGUCUUUAUCAUAGACAGCUAAAGGAAACUAGUCUACAAAAUCUUAUUAUUUAGAUUGUUUUCAUAGACAGCUAGAAGAAACAAAGAGCAGUAAAAAGAUAGAGGACUAGAUUCUAUUUUUGUUUUCAACAAGUUUCUUGCACGAUAGUUAACCCUAUUUGAGGCAUUGUGUUACACUAAAUGUGAAAUUUCGUUUGUGUGCACUCAAAACAUAUCAUGUAAUUACACACUCGGUACAUUCCUGGUUCUUCGAUUAAAAUCGGACAAGUCAAAUUUCAACCUCAAUAUUAUAGAUUUUAAAAUGUAUUCAAAACCUGCAACGUCCGAUCUUAAUUCAACAACUAUCGAUGUGUCAACUGUGUUAAUGCACGAGAUUUUGACUGCAUGCAAUCCAAAUCCCUAAAUGUGGAUAACUCUCUCCCUCGGAAUUCAAAUUUUAGUUCGCCACAUUAUGGGUUACUACCUAUUCGCUAGACCCAAUAUCGGUUAGUGGAAUAGUUCAUAUUCAAACAAUGGGUAUUACUAAGUAAAGUAGAACAAGUAACCAUUUUACGGUCGUUUCUGAAGAGAUUUGAACUCAAGUUAGUUGAAGUUAAAAGAUCAAACUCUUAUUACUGAUGUGACAUAUGAUUGAGAAAUAGUGUCUUAAAUAUAUUUAUAUAGACCUUCAUUAUUUAUUUAAAAGCACAAUACAAAUUUGCAUUCCCUUCACAAGAAGACAUUAUUUCUGAAAACUCAAACCUCAUCACAAUGUCUUGGUUCCUUACAAUUCUGUUUCUCAGUCUCACAUUUGGUACUAAUUUUUCAGAAGCAAACCAUGACAACAAGAAGCUUCUUCCUUCACCUGUUGUAGUUGGCACUGUCUACUGUGACACAUGUUUUCAACAAGCUUUCUCUCUAAACAGCCACUUCAUUUCAGGUAAUCCAUUUCAACCUCAAAAGGGUACUUCAAUUUUAUAUCUCUUAAAAUGUUGUAAAAUUUUUCUAAACCUUAUCAUAUUUUAUUUUGUCCUUGUUUUUAUGUAUAGGUGCAUCAAUAGCUGUUGAAUGCAAAAUAGGAAAAACAAAACCAAGAUUCUAUAAAGAAGUGAAAACAAAUGAACAUGGAGAAUUCAAAGUGAAACUACCUUUCUUAGUGAAGAAACAUGUGAAGAGAAUCAAAGGGUGUAAUUUUAAGUUGUUAAGUAGUAAUGAACCAAAUUGUGCUAUAGCCUCAACUUCUACUUCAUCUUCACUAAGCCUAAAGAAAAAGUUGCAACAAGAACACAUUUUUUCAGCUGGGAUUUUCUCAUUCAAGCCUAUAAAAAAACCAAAAUUUUGUGACAAAAAACAUAGUAUUCAUAACCUUAAGAAACAACAUAGUUAUGUGAAAAAUUUGGAACAAUCAAAAUUUUCAAGCAAAAAUAAAGUACCUAAUGAAGUUGAAGAUUUCUUCUUUUUUCCUCCAAACCCUUUUUUUCCACCACCUAUUAUCCCUAAUCCACUUCAACCUCCACCUUUGAUUCCUAACCCUUUGCAACCACCACCUUUGAUUCCAAAUCCAUUUCAACCACCAAGUCCACCCUUGAUUCCUAAUCCAUUUCAACCACCAAGUCCACCACUUAUUCCAAAUCCAUUUCAACCUCCUCCAUCAAAUCCACCACUUAUUCCUAAUCCAUUUCAACCUCCCCCAGCAAGUCCUCCACCACUCAUUCCAAAUCCAUUUCAGCCUCCACCAUCAAGUCCACCACCAUCAUUUCCUUUUCCACCAAUAGUAAUACCAGGUUUAACUCCAUCACCACCGCCGCCGCCACCACCAAAAUCAAUUUUUCCUGCUCCCUUA